rnacentral:rRNA from 1 species
GCAUGGAGCUGCUAUUGGUACAGAUCUUGGUGGUAGUAGCAAAUAAUCGAAUGAGACCUUGGAGGACUGAAGUGGAGAAGGGUUUCGUGUGAACAGUGGUUGAUCACGAGUUAGUCGGUCCUAAGUUCAAGGCGAAAGCCGAAAAUUUUCAAGUAAAAAUAAAAUUUACUAUAUGUAAAAAUUAUAUACUUGAAUAAUUUUGAACGAAAGGGAAUACGGUUCCAAUUCCGUAACCUGUUGAGUAUCCGUUUGUUAUUAAAUAUGGGCCUCGUGCUCAUCCUGGCAACAGGAACGACCAUAAAGAAGCCGUCGAGAGAUAUCGGAAGAGUUUUCUUUUCUGUUUUAUAGUCGUACUACCAUGGAAGUCUUUCGCAGAGAGAUAUGGUAGAUGGGCUAGAAGAGCAUGACAUAUACUGUUGUGUCGAUAUUUUCUCCUCGGACCUUGAAAAUUUAUGGUGGGGAUACGCAAACUUCUCAACAGGCCGUACCAAUAUCCGCAGCUGGUCUCCAAGGUGAAGAGUCUCUAGUCGAUAGAAUAAUGUAGGUAAGGGAAGUCGGCAAAUUAGAUCCGUAACUUCGGGAUAAGGAUUGGCUCUGAAGAUUGAGAUAGUCGGGCUUGAUUGGGAAACAAUAAUAUGGUUUAUGUGCUCGUUCUGGGUAAAUAGAGUUUCGAUCAUUUAUGGUUGUAACUUGUUCCCCGGAUAGUUAGUUACGUAUCCAAUUGUGGAACUUUCUUGCUAAAAUUUUUAAGAAUACUAGUUGGGUCAAACCAAUUAGUUCUUAUUAAUUAUAACGAUUAUCAAUUAACAAUCAAUUCAGAACUGGCACGGACUUGGGGAAUCCGACUGUCUAAUUAAAACAAAGCAUUGUGAUGGCCCUAGCGGGUGUUGACACAAUGUGAUUUCUGCCCAGUGCUCUGAAUGUCAAAGUGAAGAAAUUCAAGUAAGCGCGGGUCAACGGCGGGAGUAACUAUGACUCUCUUAAGGUAGCCAAAUGCCUCGUCAUCUAAUUAGUGACGCGCAUGAAUGGAUUAACGAGAUUCCUACUGUCCCUAUCUACUAUCUAGCGAAACCACAGCCAAGGGAACGGGCUUGGAAUAAUUAGCGGGGAAAGAAGACCCUUUUGAGCUUGACUCUAAUCUGGCAGUGUAAGGAGACAUAAGAGGUGUAGAAUAAGUGGGAGAUAUUAGACUUCGGUUUGGUAUCGCCAAUGAAAUACCACUACUCUUAUUGUUUCCUUACUUACUUGAUUAAAUGGAACGUGUAUCAUUUCCUAGCCAUUAUACGGAUAUAUUUAUUAUAUCUUAUGGUAUUGGGUUUUGAUGCAAGCUUCUUGAUCAAAGUAUCACGAGUUUGUUAUAUAAUCGCAAACAAAUUCUUUAAUGAGAGAUGCAUUUACUGUAUUAUUGAUUUGAAAAUUUGGUAUAACUCCAAUUACUCAGGUAUGAUCCAAUUCAAGGACAUUGCCAGGUAGGGAGUUUGACUGGGGCGGUACAUCUCUCAAAUAAUAACGGAGGUGUCCCAAGGCCAGCUCAGUGCGGACAGAAACCACACAUAGAGCAAAAGGGCAAAUGCUGACUUGAUCUCGCUGUUCAGUACACACAGGGACAGCAAAAGCUCGGCCUAUCGAUCCUUUUGGUUUAAAGAGUUUUUAACAAGAGGUGUCAGAAAAGUUACCAUAGGGAUAACUGGCUUGUGGCGGCCAAGCGUUCAUAGCGACGUCGCUUUUUGAUCCUUCGAUGUCGGCUCUUCCUAUCAUUGUGAAGCAAAAUUCACCAAGCGUUGGAUUGUUCACCCAUGCAAGGGAACGUGAGCUGGGUUUAGACCGUCGUGAGACAGGUUAGUUUUACCCUACUAAUGACAAAACGUUGUUGCGACAGCAUUCCUGCGUAGUACGAGAGGAACCGCAGGUACGGACCAAUGGCACAAUACUUGUUCGAGCGAACAGUGGUAUGACGCUACGUCCGUUGGAUUAUGCCUGAACGCCUCUAAGGUCGUAUCCGUGCUGGACUGCAAUGAUAAAUAAGGGGCAAUUUGCAUUGUAUGGCUUCUAAACCAUUUAAAGUUUAUUAUUUAUAUUUUAAACGACAAUGGAUGUGAUGCCAAUGUAAUUUGU